CUCAACACAGCCUAACGUAUUUAAACAAAAAUUAACCCAAUCUAACAAUCUGAAUUAGUUCCAAAUGGAGCUGGUGUAAAACAAAAGCAGUGCUGACUGAAAUUGAGAGAGAAAUGGGAAGAACGUGCAGCUUGGAACAUGCAGGAAAGGUUUAAAAGAUUGAGCUGAACAUGAAAAACUGACAAUAAUAAGAAUUUUGUGAAAAAUGUAGACGACUGAAUGUGGCCAAUAACUUAAGUUUAUUUUUUUAGCCCGAUCGACAGGUUCAAAUUAUAGCAAUGCUACAUAAGGUUCAACAGCUCCCCGGAAAUCUUACCGGGGCUUCCAGAGACUCCUCCUUGUUGAACGCCUCCUCGACUAUGGCGGCAGCUGCAGCCACUUCUGCUGCUACGGAGGCAUCUACCGCUGCAGGUUCCUCGACAGCUGCAGGUU